GACGAACGCUGGCGGCGUGCCUAACACAUGCAAGUGGAGCGACGAACCAGGCUUCGGCCUGGAGCAAAGCCGCGAACGGGUGAGUAACACGUGGGUAACCUGCCCCGAUGACCGGGACAACCCGAGGAAACUCGGGCUAAUACCGGAUGUGUUCUCCAUGCUCAAGCGUGGAGAGAAAAGGAAGCUUCGGCCUCCGCAUCGGGAGGGGCCCGCGGCCCAUUAGCUUGUUGGUGGGGUAAAGGCCCACCAAGGCAA
rnacentral:rRNA from 1 species